GAUGAAGAACGUAGUGAAAUGCGAUAAUUAAUGUGAAUUGCAGAAUUCCGUGAAUCAUCGAGUCUUUGAACGCACAUUGCGCCUCAUGGCAUUCCGUGAGGCAUGCCCAUCUCAGCGUUAGAAAAUAUUCUCAAAUUUUAGUUUUGUGCUAAAAUUUGGAUCAUGUCAAGGAAGCUAUUACUAUUAUUGUGAUCGCUCUUUGGAAAUUGAUAGGUCUUUGAGUUGCUACUCAUAGAACGUGAUGAAUCUUUCUUCAUUCUAUUGUAAUUCACUCUGGUAGUCCUAAAACUUGUAUGCCUGUGGCAUAUCUUGUAAUUUGACCUGAGAUUGGGUAGGGAUACCCGCUGAACUUAAGCAUAUCAAUAAGCGGAGGA
rnacentral:misc_RNA from 1 species